UAGAUCUGUUAGUCCUUGAGGAGGUGCUACUGUGGCUCGAGUUUGGUUUGGAUCCGUGGCUCGAGUUUCAAGUUGGGCGUUUUUCUUGGUGUUCUUCUGUUCUUGUUUCUGUUCGUGAGCUUUGGGUUCACGCAAAGGGAGAGGCGACGCGCUGCAGCGGCAUCCAGCACGUGCGACGCAGGCCAGCGGCUGCACCUCGCGGGCCAGGCGACGUAGCUGCAGGCCGGCGGCAGCAGGCCCGACGCAGUACAGGCCGAAGCGACCUGCCACACGCGACACGCUCGUGCCAAGGCAGCCCAGCUGGUGGCCAGCGGCCGAGCACCCAGCGACGCACUAGGCGGCCCAGCUCGCGCAGGGGACGGAGGCCAGAGCAUCCACCAGCCCGACGGCACCAGGCCUGCCCAGGCGGACAGCCGCAACGACAUGCAUCAGGAGCGAGGUGCAUUUAGGGUGGCAAACGGGAUAUAUAUUUUGUUCUUGGAGAGAAUUUUUUUAAAGGCUCCCAUUCACCCCUCUGUGGUCGCCCAUCCCAGUCCUUCAAUUGGUAUCAAAGCUUGGUUAAGGAUCACACCAUCUUAAUCGGCUUUGUGAUCCAUAGGACGAUAAGGUAAAGGGCGUUUUUUCUUGCGGAUUUGGUUUUUUGAGUUUUGAGCUUGCUUUCGACUAAUCCUAACUGGUGCUUUGAGCUAUGGCACCAAGCUCUUCUUCUUGUGUUUCAUUAUCUUCAGGUAGUAGGAGUUUGGAGAUUGAGUUGGAAUCAGAAGUGGAGGCGGUGAUAGAUCUCCUCGAGAACUACCAAGACGGUGAUCACGAAGGGUGAGUUCUACCGCAGGCUAAGAGACAUGAGCCAAGGUACGCUUGCCAAAUGCAUCAUGAUUUUAUGCAAUCGUGUUGAUGAUUGUGAAGAUGAAAAUGAGAGAAACAUUGAGCUUUGUGAUGCUUUGCAUAGGAAGAAUGAGAUGAUGAAAUGUUCUCUUGCUAAGUUGAAAUGUGGAAUUGCUCAUUGGAAAUCACGUGCUCUGAAUCCUUGCAAUUCUUGUGAUAGCUUACUUAAAAUGAACGGUGAAUUGAAGUCUUCUCUUGCUUGCUUAAAAUCUGAAAAUGACUUGUUGAAUUGCAAUGCCUCUAUGCCAUGUAAUUCAUGUGUUGGUUUGAAUAAUGAUCUUGAUAAGGCUAGAGAUGAAAUUGCUCUAUUGAAAUCUAAUGCUUCUUUACCAUGGGUUUCAUGUGAGUAUUUGCUUGCUGAAAUAAUGAAUUAAAAUUGACUUACACCACAUGUGUUGAACAACUUGAGCAUGUUAAAGCUAAAAUUUGUAAAAUGAAGUCUAUGCCUUGUAGCAUGUGCUCUUUGGUUCUAGAUGAUGAUGCUUGCCUUACUUCUUGUGAUAAUAAUGCCGUGCUUGAUGUGAAUGAUGAUGAUUGUUCAUGCGAACUUAUUUGCACAUCAUGCAUUGAAUUGGAAAGUGAAGUUUUGGCUUUGAAGCAAAUGCGCGAUGAUAUGAGCGCCAAGUUGGUUGAGCGCAAUGAGAUGAGUGCUAAUUUUGAGAAAGAAAAUAAUUUUUGCAUACCACAUAUGCUAAGUGCAUUGAAAAGGAGAUGGAUAAUUUGAGAAAUGCUCCAUGUGGUAGUUGUGAUUGCUUUAAACAUGAAAAUAAGAUUUUGGCCACAAGAUGCAAGAGUCUUUGUGCUAAGUCUUUUGAUUUUCGUAAUUCUUGUCACUCCGAUGUUAGUGCUUCCAUAAUUGCUUCUUCCCUAUCGGAGUUGGCUUCUUGUGUUGAGCGUGAGUCUUUGGACGAUAGCACCUGUGCUAGUGCUUUGAAUAGCUCUUUUAUAGCUACUCCUCAGCUUAUUGCUUCUUCCGGUAUUGCCCAAGGCAAUUCAGUGGCAAGGGUGCUUCUCACAUUUUUGGAACUCAUACUCCCAAACUGAAGUUCCAUUGCACCUUUUGUAAGAAUGAUGUGCACACCGAGCUUUUGCCGUGUCAAGCAUGAGAGAUGUGUGCGUGCCAAAGCUUUUAGGAAGCCACGUAGCCUUUCCCAUGGCACGUGUGAUCCAAAUGUGGGUACCAAAUCAAAUGGUGUUGUUGAUACUUCUUGCUCUAAAUCCCAAGAAACAUCUCACUUGAAUGAGAAUGGUAAUUUGUCCUCUCGAACCGUACCUCCAAAUAGGCCUUUGUACCAUUGCUCUUAUUGUGAGAAAGAUGGGCAUCAAGAGACUUUUUGCUAUCACCGUGCAAUACAAAAGCAGCGAGCUUAUACUUCUAGGCUUUUGGUUGUUCAUAGCCCUACUUAUGGUAUGAACACUUGUGAGCCUAGUGCUUCUAGCACUCUUGUGGUGGAAUUUACUUAUCGAGAUUUGAGUUUACUUAUCGAGAUUUGAGUCCUCGAUUUAGCAUGGGUGCUCACAUUUACUCACGUAAGCAACGUGCCUGACAAGGCACCAGUGGUGGUUCAUCAAUCUAAAGGAUCUGCCGGCUCCAUAAUAAAGUUGCGUGCGUAUAUUUAUGAGUUAAGUAUAUUUAUGAGUUAAGUGUGCACGUACGUAUGUGAGCGUUUUGUCUUUAUUGUGGUUCGAAAAAAACGUGGUGAAUGAAAGUAAUCUAUUAUUUUAUUUGGAAAAAAAUAUAUAACUACAUACCAUGCCACUUUGUCGGUUUAUCUCCUGAAUACAAUUUAGGCUCAAUUUACUUCGUCAAACUAUAUCGAUUAGUUCAGCUUCAAAACCUGUGAGCUCCUUAUGUGAAAGGAACCCGCAAAUGUAUAGCACUCAUCUUAUACUUUUGUUCUCAUUUCAUGUAAAAAGAUUAAUCUGAAGAUAUAUAUUUGAAAGGACAACCAAUUUCAACUACAGUUGUAUAUUGAGCUGGGUAUUACACUCCCCUCUUUUUAAAGGCUAACGUCUGCCUUCGGCAGAUCACCGCACACAUACACAGCAGAUGUCGAGAAUCACCCGUCGAUACACGAUCGUGCCGCGGACGGCGGACAUAGCCACAUGCACGAGUUGGCACAUCUUGCAUUGCAACUAGACUGAGAUCAACGAGGCGUAUAGAGGCUUCGUCAAUCUCGAGUUGAGAUCAGCCGGCUCAUUCUCUCGUCAGUGCUCAUAAAGGUGGUCAAAAGGAAAACUAACAGAGAGGAAAAACAGGUGGGAUAAGGUGACGCCGACUACGUUUCCCUCGUGAAGGUCCACCUCGCGCCUCGAUCGGAGGCGCAACCGAACUAUGGUUGUGGCCCCGAGCGACCCUGCGCUAUAAGAAAAGGGGGAGCCGGCGGCGGGUUUUGGGUUGACUGCUAACGCACCAAAACCUCCAGAGAACUCCCCCCACACGCCAACCCGAUCGUGGCAGCGCUGGAAUCGCCCUAAGGCUACCGCAACACCACCAUCGCCGUCCCUGGACAGACGAGGUGGAGGCCCGAAGGCAGGCAUGAUCUACGUCAAGCUUGUACACCUACGGCGAGCACACCUACGGCAGAUCCCAUCCCGGCCUCGUCCACGACAAUCAUGGCCGGAUCGUCGCAAACUAUGGCUGCCGACUUGACUCUAUCAAGCGUCAUAAGCUAUGUUAACGGCAUACAGAAGCUUGGGGGAGAUAACUUUACCAACUGGAAGAAUGAUAUUGGGUUGGUCCUUUGCAUCAUGGACAGGGACCACUCCAUGAGGGAUAAGUAUCCUGUUGCUCCUACUGCUCAAGGGGAUAAUGACACCACCCUCCCUGAGCGCACUGCUACCUAUGAGAAGGAAAAGGAGCGGUGGGAGCGAUCAGACAGGGUAGCCCUAAUGAUCAUGAAGCAGACGAUAAACCCGGCAAUAAGGGAAGCCAUUGAGAAACAUCCCAAAAGUGCCAAACAUUUCAUGGAGAAGGUUGAGGAGUACUUCAAAGGCUCCAGUAAGGCUAAUGCUAGCACCCUCCUGACAAAGCUAAUGAACACCAAGUAUGAUGGACAAGGCAGUGUUAGGGAGAAUAUCAUGAGUCUCGUUGACCUAAGGGAUAAGCUCAACGACUUGAAUUGCUCCCUUAAUGAUGAGACACUGCUUCAUCACAUCAUGCUCUCGUUGCCUUCAGUGUUUGAACCCUUUAAGAUAAACUAUAAUGGUAGUGACGCGAAGUGGGAUAUUCCCACACUCAUCGCGAAGUGUUCUUAGGAGGAAGAAAGGCUCAGAUAAGAGAAGGACGAUUUUGCCAACCUCAUCAGGCAUGAGGUGAAUAAAGGCAAGAAUAAGCAAAUCUCCCCUUUUAAGAAAAUUAAGAAAAAUAAGAAACCUAAUCAACCUCCUCCUCCUAAGAAUGAUGGGUCAUCCUCGUCUAAGGGUCCUAGAUGCCAUCACUGCAAGGAUUAUGGACAUAUUAAGAAGCAUUGUGCUCAGUUCAAGGAAUGAUGCAUCAAGAAUGGAAUUACAUGGCGCGCGGACUAUAAGAAGGGAGACUCGCACCGUUAAAGUUGCAAAUGGGCUUGAAGCUGAAGUUGAGGCUAUUGGAGAUCUCUCUAUAGAACUUAGCAAUAACUUUAUGCUUCAUUUAAGUAAUGUCCUUUAUGUACCGUCACUUAAGAGGAACUUGAUUUCAGUUUCAGCAUUAGAUUGUGAUGGAUAUUCUUGCAAUUUUGGAAACAAUCAGUGUGUAAUAAGUUUUAAUAAUCAGAUUAUU